GUGCUAGCAUCAGCAGCACAUAUACUAAAUACUGGAAUGAUACAGAGAAGAUUAGCAUGGCCCCUGCGCAAGAAUGACAUUCAAAUUUGUAAAGUGUUUCAUAUUUUU
ensembl:snRNA U6 U6 spliceosomal RNA